AGCGAACGGACGAGAAGCUUGCUUCUCUGAUGUUAGCGGCGGACGGGUGAGUAACACGUGGAUAACCUACCUAUAAGACUGGGAUAACUUCGGGAAACCGGAGCUAAUACCGGAUAAUAUUUUGAACCGCAUGGUUCAAAAGUAAAAGACGGUCUUGCUGUCACUUAUAGAUGGAUCCGCGCUGCAUUAGCUAGUUGGUAAGGUAACGGCUUACCAAGGCAACGAUGCAUAGCCGACCUGAGAGGGUGAUCGGCCACACUGGAACUGAGACACGGUCCAGACUCCUACGGGAGGCAGCAGUAGGGAAUCUUCCGCAAUGGGCGAAAGCCUGACGGAGCAACGCCGCGUGAGUGAUGAAGGUCUUCGGAUCGUAAAACUCUGUUAUUAGGGAAGAACAUAUGUGUAAGUAACUGUGCACAUCUUGACGGUACCUAAUCAGAAAGCCACGGCUAACUACGUGCCAGCAGCCGCGGUAAUACGUAGGUGGCAAGCGUUAUCCGGAAUUAUUGGGCGUAAAGCGCGCGUAGGCGGUUUUUUAAGUCUGAUGUGAAAGCCCACGGCUCAACCGUGGAGGGUCAUUGGAAACUGGAAAACUUGAGUGCAGAAGAGGAAAGUGGAAUUCCAUGUGUAGCGGUGAAAUGCGCAGAGAUAUGGAGGAACACCAGUGGCGAAGGCGACUUUCUGGUCUGUAACUGACGCUGAUGUGCGAAAGCGUGGG
rnacentral:rRNA from 1 species